rnacentral:rRNA from 1 species
CGUGGAUCGAUUUGUCUGGUUUAUUCCGAUAACGAGCGAGACUCUAGCCUACUAAAUAGUUACGGGAUUUGCUUGCAUGUCCUGCUUAGCUUCUUAGAGGGAUUUUCGGUGUUUAGCCGCACGAGAUUGAGCAAUAACAGGUCUGUGAUGCCCUUAGAUGUCCGGGGCUGCACGCGCGCUACACUGGCGAAAUCAGCGUGCUGUAUCCAUUCUCGAAAGGGAUUGGUAAACCCAUGAAAAUUUGCCGUGCUUGGGAUCGGAAAUUGCAAUUAUUUUCCGUGAACGAGGAAUUCCAAGUAAGUGCGAGUCAUCAACUCGCUCUGAAUACGUCCCUGCCCUUUGUAC